rfam:Mus musculus chromosome 11, GRC primary reference assembly.
AGCUAAAUGGUCAAAGAGGCCCUUUGUCGGUGGUGUUGAUCUUCUACCAGUCAGGGGCAGAACAGAUGGCAGUCCUUUGUUCAUCCUAGCUUGGUGCCUGGCUUGGUGACCAAAGCUGUUUUAAGCCUAGGACACAUAU